CCUACGGGAGGCUGCAGUGGGGAAUAUUGGACAAUGGGGGGAACCCUGAUCCAGCCAUGCCGCGUGUGUGAAGAAGGCCCUCGGGUUGUAAAGCACUUUCAGUGAGGAAGAACGCCUGGUGGUUAAUACCCAUCAGGAAAGACAUCACUCACAGAAGACGCACCGGCUAACUCCGUGCCAGCAGCCGCGGUAAUACGGAGGGUGCGAGCGUUAAUCGGAAUUACUGGGCGUAAAGCGCGCGUAGGUGGCUUGAUAAGCCGGUUGUGAAAGCCCCGGGCUCAACCUGGGAACGGCAUCCGGAACUGUCAAGCUAGAGUGCAGGAGAGGAAGGUAGAAUUCCCGGUGUAGCGGUGAAAUGCGUAGAGAUCGGGAGGAAUACCAGUGGCGAAGGCGGCCUUCUGGACUGACACUGACACUGAGGUGCGAAAGCGUGGGUAGCAAACAGGAUUAGAUACCCCAGUAGUC
rnacentral:rRNA from 1 species